CCUACGGGUGGCAGCAGUCGAGAAUCAUUCACAAUGGGGGAAACCCUGAUGGUGCGACGCCGCGUGGGGGAAUGAAGGUCUUCGGAUUGUAAACCCCUGUCAUGUGGGAGCAAAUUAAAAAGAUAGUACCACAAGAGGAAGAGACGGCUAACGCUGUGCCAGCAGCCGCGGUAAUACGGGGGUCUCAAGCGUUGUUCGGAAUCACUGGGCGUAAAGCGUGCGUAGGCUGUUUCGUAAGUCGUGUGUGAAAGGCGCGGGCUCAACCCGCGGACGGCACAUGAUACUGCGAGACUAGAGUGAUGUAGGGGGAAACGGAAUUCUCGGUGUAGCAGUGAAAUGCGUAGAUAUCGAGAGGAACACUCGUGGCGAAGGCGGGUUCCUGGACAUUAACUGACGCUGAGGCACGAAGGCCAGGGGAGCGAAAGGGAUUAGAUACCCUUGUAGUC
rnacentral:rRNA from 1 species